rnacentral:rRNA from 1 species
GGGUUGUGAGGUUAAGCGACUAAGCGUACACGGUGGAUGCCCUGGCAGUCAGAGGCGAUGAAGGACGUGCUAAUCUGCGAUAAGCGUCGGUAAGGUGAUAUGAACCGUUAUAACCGGCGAUUUCCGAAUGGGGAAACCCAGUGUGUUUCGACACACUAUCAUUAACUGAAUCCAUAGGUUAAUGAGGCGAACCGGGGGAACUGAAACAUCUAAGUACCCCGAGGAAAAGAAAUCAACCGAGAUUCCCCCAGUAGCGGCGAGCGAACGGGGAGCAGCCCAGAGCCUGAAUCAGUGUGUGUGUUAGUGGAAGCGUCUGGAAAGGCGCGCGAUACAGGGUGACAGCCCCGUACACAAAAAUGCACAUGCUGUGAGCUCGAUGAGUAGGGCGGGACACGUGGUAUCCUGUCUGAAUAUGGGGGGACCAUCCUCCAAGGCUAAAUACUCCUGACUGACCGAUAGUGAACCAGUACCGUGAGGGAAAGGCGAAAAGAACCCCGGCGAGGGGAGUGAAAAAGAACCUGAAACCGUGUACGUACAAGCAGUGGGAGCACGCUUAGGCGUGUGACUGCGUACCUUUUGUAUAAUGGGUCAGCGACUUAUAUUCUGUAGCAAGGUUAACCGAAUAGGGGAGCCGAAGGGAAACCGAGUCUUAACUGGGCGUUAAGUUGCAGGGUAUAGACCCGAAACCCGGUGAUCUAGCCAUGGGCAGGUUGAAGGUUGGGUAACACUAACUGGAGGACCGAACCGACUAAUGUUGAAAAAUUAGCGGAUGACUUGUGGCUGGGGGUGAAAGGCCAAUCAAACCGGGAGAUAGCUGGUUCUCCCCGAAAGCUAUUUAGGUAGCGCCUCGUGAAUUCAUCUCCGGGGGUAGAGCACUGUUUCGGCAAGGGGGUCAUCCCGACUUACCAACCCGAUGCAAACUGCGAAUACCGGAGAAUGUUAUCACGGGAGACACACGGCGGGUGCUAACGUCCGUCGUGAAGAGGGAAACAACCCAGACCGCCAGCUAAGGUCCCAAAGUCAUGGUUAAGUGGGAAACGAUGUGGGAAGGCCCAGACAGCCAGGAUGUUGGCUUAGAAGCAGCCAUCAUUUAAAGAAAGCGUAAUAGCUCACUGGUCGAGUCGGCCUGCGCGGAAGAUGUAACGGGGCUAAACCAUGCACCGAAGCUGCGGCAGCGACACUAUGUGUUGUUGGGUAGGGGAGCGUUCUGUAAGCCUGUGAAGGUGUGCUGUGAGGCAUGCUGGAGGUAUCAGAAGUGCGAAUGCUGACAUAAGUAACGAUAAAGCGGGUGAAAAGCCCGCUCGCCGGAAGACCAAGGGUUCCUGUCCAACGUUAAUCGGGGCAGGGUGAGUCGACCCCUAAGGCGAGGCCGAAAGGCGUAGUCGAUGGGAAACAGGUUAAUAUUCCUGUACUUGGUGUUACUGCGAAGGGGGGACGGAGAAGGCUAUGUUGGCCGGGCGACGGUUGUCCCGGUUUAAGCGUGUAGGCUGGUUUUCCAGGCAAAUCCGGAAAAUCAAGGCUGAGGCGUGAUGACGAGGCACUACGGUGCUGAAGCAACAAAUGCCCUGCUUCCAGGAAAAGCCUCUAAGCAUCAGGUAACAUCAAAUCGUACCCCAAACCGACACAGGUGGUCAGGUAGAGAAUACCAAGGCGCUUGAGAGAACUCGGGUGAAGGAACUAGGCAAAAUGGUGCCGUAACUUCGGGAGAAGGCACGCUGAUAUGUAGGUGAGGUCCCUCGCGGAUGGAGCUGAAAUCAGUCGAAGAUACCAGCUGGCUGCAACUGUUUAUUAAAAACACAGCACUGUGCAAACACGAAAGUGGACGUAUACGGUGUGACGCCUGCCCGGUGCCGGAAGGUUAAUUGAUGGGGUUAGCGCAAGCGAAGCUCUUGAUCGAAGCCCCGGUAAACGGCGGCCGUAACUAUAACGGUCCUAAGGUAGCGAAAUUCCUUGUCGGGUAAGUUCCGACCUGCACGAAUGGCGUAAUGAUGGCCAGGCUGUCUCCACCCGAGACUCAGUGAAAUUGAACUCGCUGUGAAGAUGCAGUGUACCCGCGGCAAGACGGAAAGACCCCGUGAACCUUUACUAUAGCUUGACACUGAACAUUGAGCCUUGAUGUGUAGGAUAGGUGGGAGGCUUAGAAGUGUGGACGCCAGUCUGCAUGGAGCCGACCUUGAAAUACCACCCUUUAAUGUUUGAUGUUCUAACGUUGACCCGUAAUCCGGGUUGCGGACAGUGUCUGGUGGGUAGUUUGACUGGGGCGGUCUCCUCCUAAAGAGUAACGGAGGAGCACGAAGGUUGGCUAAUCCUGGUCGGACAUCAGGAGGUUAGUGCAAUGGCAUAAGCCAGCUUGACUGCGAGCGUGACGGCGCGAGCAGGUGCGAAAGCAGGUCAUAGUGAUCCGGUGGUUCUGAAUGGAAGGGCCAUCGCUCAACGGAUAAAAGGUACUCCGGGGAUAACAGGCUGAUACCGCCCAAGAGUUCAUAUCGACGGCGGUGUUUGGCACCUCGAUGUCGGCUCAUCACAUCCUGGGGCUGAAGUAGGUCCCAAGGGUAUGGCUGUUCGCCAUUUAAAGUGGUACGCGAGCUGGGUUUAGAACGUCGUGAGACAGUUCGGUCCCUAUCUGCCGUGGGCGCUGGAGAACUGAGGGGGGCUGCUCCUAGUACGAGAGGACCGGAGUGGACGCAUCACUGGUGUUCGGGUUGUCAUGCCAAUGGCACUGCCCGGUAGCUAAAUGCGGAAGAGAUAAGUGCUGAAAGCAUCUAAGCACGAAACUUGCCCCGAGAUGAGUUCUCCCUGACUCCUUGAGAGUCCUGAAGGAACGUUGAAGACGACGACGUUGAUAGGCCGGGUGUGUAAGCGCAGCGAUGCGUUGAGCUAACCGGUACUAAUGAACCGUGAGGCUUAACCUUACAACGCCGAAG